AGGGGCGGGGGAAGGGAGUCCUGGUCAAUAACCCCGGAGCGCCGCAGGUGGGAGGUGCGGGCGGGUGCCCGAGCGCCUGACGGCCCCUACGCGCCCAGCAGCCUCCACCUGCCCAGUGAUCAUGAUAGUGUUUGUCAGGUUCAACUCCAGCCAUGGUUUCCCAGUGGAGGUGGAUUCCGACACGAGCAUCUUCCAGCUCAAGGAGGUGGUUGCUAAGCGACAGGGGGUUCCAGCUGACCAGUUGCGCGUGAUUUUCGCGGGGAAGGAGCUUCGGGAUGACUUGACAGUGCAGAGCUGUGACCUGGAUCAGCAGAGCAUCGUUCACAUUGUGCUGAGACCCCAGAGGCCAGUCCAAGAAAGGAGCACAGCUGGCAGGGACGGCCGGCGCCGACUUGGGGAGGGCUCUGGGAGGGAGCCUGGGAGCCUGACCCGCGUGGACCUCAGCAGCUCUGUCCUCCCGGCCGACUCGGUGGGCCUGGCUGUCAUCCUGCAUAGGGACGGCGAGGACGCCCAGCCAGCUGCAAAGCCAGCAGGCAGACCAACCUACAACAGCUUUUAUGUUUAUUGCAAAGGCCCCUGUCAAAGUGUGCAGCCAGGAAAACUCAGGGUGCAGUGUAGCACCUGCCAGCAAGCAACACUCACCUUGGCCCAGGUAAGGAAAGGCAGCAUCGGCAGAGACUGCCCAGAGAAGGUCCUUCUUGCUGGGAAGAUGUCUUAACCCCAAACCGGAUGAGCGGUGAAUGCCAAUCCCCAAACUGCCCCGGGACGAGAGCAGAAUUUUUCUUUAAAUGUGGAGCCCACCCGACCUCUGAAAAGGAAACAUCAGUAGCUUUGAACCUGAUCACAGCCAAUAGUCGAGACAUCAGCUGCAUAACAUGUACAGACGUCAGG